GUACAAUGCGCGUCAAUAAAAUCAGGAUUCGCAAGGCCGCCCACGAUUUAUGGGUCAUGAUUCGAGACAGAAACGUCAAAUUUAAUUUGAUGCAAAUUUAAUCAAAACGGCUCAGUACGCAUUACACAUUCGUGUUCACACACACACUUGUUUCGGUGUAAUUUACAUCAGGAUCGAUCCGAGCGAACUGACAUUUAGAGUAUGAAAUGUCAAAACUUGGGGUUAAGUGUCACGUGUCAAAUGACCGUCGGCCGAUUUGAAACCCAAUUCAUUGUUUUCGAAGAAAGAUAUCUUGGUUUUUGAAUUUUCUCAUGGCUAGCCUUGAUACCGAAUUUAAUCAAAUGUGUAAAAUUGUCACGCCAGCAUUGAAGAAACAAAUUCCGGGAAUAUCAUGUGAUAAAAAAUGUGCAAAUCCAGCAUUGACAUUUGACACUAAUCUCGAAUUUUUGAAAUGUCACGACAAUGACCCAUCUCAUUUAUUUUUUCCAACAAAAUGGUAUUAAAGGAGACAAUAGACGAACAAAUUACGUUGGCAAAAACGAAAACGUCAAAUACUGUAGUGAACCGAGACGAGAAACGGGAGAAAAAAAGCCACACGACUUUCAAUUAAACAACAAGAAGAAAUGAAGUUCUUACAUCGCAACACGUCCAUUCGCAUCGGAAAACAAUGAGAGCCUUUCAUCUUGACCGUUACGCAAUAUACAGUGUGCAUACAGGGUGCCCGCUUUUUGAGCUCCACCAAGGGAUCUCAGUUAUUAUAAUUUUUAUGCUGAAAAAUUAUCUCAAAGAAGAUUUAAUACAUCAUUUUUAGUUUUUGAAUUAUUGAGAAAAAUAAAAAACUUGUAAUUUU